rnacentral:rRNA from 1 species
UGGGGAAUUUUGGACAAUGGGGGAAACCCUGAUCCAGCCAUCCCGCGUGUGCGAUGAAGGCCUUCGGGUUGUAAAGCACUUUUGGCAGGAAAGAAACGUCAUGGGUUAAUACCCCGUGAAACUGACGGUACCUGCAGAAUAAGCACCGGCUAACUACGUGCCAGCAGCCGCGGUAAUACGUAGGGUGCAAGCGUUAAUCGGAAUUACUGGGCGUAAAGCGUGCGCAGGCGGUUCGGAAAGAAAGAUGUGAAAUCCCAGAGCUCAACUUUGGAACUGAAUUUUUAACUACCGGGCUAGAGUGUGUCAGAGGGAGGUGGAAUUCCGCGUGUGGCAGUGAAAUGCGUAGAUAUGCGGAGGAACACCGAUGGCGAAGGCAGCCACCUGGGAUAACACUGACGCUCAUGCACGAAAGCGUGGGGAGCAAACAGG